rnacentral:rRNA from 1 species
AGAACGAACGCUGGCGGCAUGCCUAACACAUGCAAGUCGAACGAGACCUUCGGGUCUAGUGGCGCACGGGUGCGUAACGCGUGGGAAUCUGCCCUUAGGUUCGGAAUAACAGUUAGAAAUGACUGCUAAUACCGGAUAAUGUCUUCGGACCAAAGAUUUAUUGCCUAGGAGUAUGGGCCCCGCGUACCGAUUAGCUUGGUUGGUGGGGUAAACGCCUACCAAGGCGACGAUCGUUAGCUGGUCUGAGAGGAUGAUCAGCCAGACUGGGACUGCGACACGGCCCAGACUCCUACGGGAGGCAGCAGUUAGGAAUUUGCGCAAUGGGCGAAAGCCUGACGCAGCAACGCGCGUGGGGAUGAAGGCUUCGGGUUGUAACCCUUUCGAGGGAAGAAAGUGACGGUACCGUGGGAAUAACGCCCCGACUAACUACGUGCCAGCACGCGC